UCUUGAAUGAAAGACAGAUAUCUGCGUGGCAUUUUGCUGAGGAUGAAGGCAGAGUUAGAGAGAGAUACUUCCAGACACAGAGAGAAGGAAGACGGUGGCCGGCAGAGCUCCGGCACGGCGGCGGUUGCCGUCGACGUAGAAGAGAGAAAUGAAGAUCGUGACAAGUUCAGAUUGACGACACAGCCGUUCUUGAAUUCCUCAAGAAAGCAUCGAACCAGGAUGAUAUUCAAGGUUAAAUGCACAUCUUUUGUUCAUAAUCAUUUCUUAUGAUAAAGAUUUGUUCUUUUGCCAUGUUGGCGCUGGUUUUAACGCUCUGAAUCUCAAAAACUUGAAAACGUGAGUAAAAUAUAUAGGACUAGUGGCUUAACCAAGGAAUCUUUAAAAAAUAACAUUUUUUAUAAAAACCAUAACAAAGAAAACGAUAUUUGAAUAUGGGCCUCAAGUGGAGAAAGAAAGUUUUUACUUUAUGCACUCUUUCAAAUUAUAAAAAAAAAAUAAUAAUAAUAUUUUA